ensembl:lncRNA
CACUGAGGACUUGGCCUUGCAGGUAGACUCCUGUUAGAUCCCGGCAGGCCAUUCCAAUACAAACAAACAAACAAGAGCCUGGCAAUGAGAAGAGAAACAACAGCACUGGCUGUUUGGCAUUGCUGGAGCACACACACAGCUGCUUAGGCUUUGUUCCACAGCACAGAGUAAAUCUCAAGAAAUUUCCUCAUAAAAAACAAAGAACUAGCACAGGGGAGUCUUAAAUAAGAGAAAUAGAUUCUGAGAGGUGUCAGCAUGAGUGGUUUUGAACAAAGGAAAAUGAAACAAUAUUCACCUUAAGAAUCUGAAUUACCUCUUUUUUUCCUAAUUGAGUAAAUGGAAAAAGAAGAGCGACAAGAAUGAGAAACAAGUAACUGGGCAGAAAAGGCCUGAGAUGGAAUAACACCACCACUACCACCACCACCAACAAACAGAGAAAAAUACAAUUGUAGACAGCAAGAAGAGAGAAUUCUGGGAAACUGUAAAGAAGCUGAUGGUCAACUUUCCCCACAUGUAGCAGAGAUUCAUGUUCAACUCUCGACAGUCUCCAGUGAAAGAACAUUAUUUUCCAGUUACUAUAUGGGCAUAUAAUUGGCUUACGUACUCUGACAAUUGUGUCACUGAUGCAUUAAUAUGUUGGGCUUAAGAAAGUGAUUUAUUUAAGAGAAAGAAAGAGCUAACUCUCACACUGAGUGAGAGAAUCCAGAAAGAUGGAAUCCAGGAGAGGAAAGCAGCUUCCACACUGAAUGGAAGGCAAUAGAGAGAGAUGGAAUUUAGGAGGAGAAGACAGGC